CCUACGGGUGGCAGCAGUAGGGAAUUUUCGUCAAUGGGCGCAAGCCUGAACGAGCAAUGCCGCGUGAACGAGGAAGGUCUUCGGAUCGUAAAGUUCUGUUGAAGGGGAAAAAGAGCGUAGAGAGGAAAUGCUUGCUGAUUGAUAUUACCCUUCGAGGAAGUCACGGCUAACUACGUGCCAGCAGCCGCGGUAAUACGUAGGUGGCGAGCGUUAAUCGGAAUGAUUGGGCGUAAAGGGUGCGUAGGCGGCCUGCUAAGUCUGGUGUGAAAGGUACCGGCUCAACCGGGGCAGGGCCUGGGAAAUGGGCGGGUAGAGGGCAGGAGAGGGCGGGGAAAAUCCAUGUG
rnacentral:rRNA from 1 species